rnacentral:rRNA from 1 species
GAUGAACGCUAGCUACAGGCUUAACACAUGCAAGUCGAGGGGAAACGGCAUCGAAAGCUUGCUUUUGAUGGGCGUCGACCGGCGCACGGGUGAGUAACGCGUAUCCAACCUGCCCAUCACUUGGGAAUAACCUUGCGAAAGUAAGACUAAUGCCCAAUGACAUCCCACGAAGGCAUCCGAAUGGGAUUAAAGAUUUAUCGGUGAUGGAUGGGGAUGCGUCUGAUUAGCUUGUUGGCGGGGUGACGGCCCACCAAGGCAACGAUCAGUAGGGGUUCUGAGAGGAAGGUCCGCCACAUUGGAACUGAGACACGGUCCAAACUCCUACGGGAGGCAGCAGUGAGGAAUAUUGGUCAAUGGGCGAGAGCCUGAACCAGCCAAGUAGCGUGCAGGAUGACGGCCCUAUGGGUUGUAAACUGCUUUUAUAAGGGAAUAAAGUGGGUCACGUGUGACUUUUUGCAUGUACCUUAUGAAUAAGAACCGGCUAAUUCCGUG